rnacentral:rRNA from 1 species
CUACGGGAGGCAGCAGUGGGGAAUAUUGGACAAUGGGGGGAACCCUGAUCCAGCCAUGCCGCGUGUGUGAAGAAGGCCCUCGGGUUGUAAAGCACUUUCAGUGAGGAAGAACGCCUGGUGGUUAAUACCCAUCAGGAAAGACAUCACUCACAGAAGAAGCACCGGCUAACUCCGUGCCAGCAGCCGCGGUAAUACGGAGGGUGCGAGCGUUAAUCGGAAUUACUGGGCGUAAAGCGCGCGUAGGUGGCUUGAUAAGCCGGUUGUGAAAGCCCCGGGCUCAACCUGGGAACGGCAUCCGGAACUGUCAAGCUAGAGUGCAGGAGAGGAAGGUAGAAUUCCCGGUGUAGCGGUGAAAUGCAUAGAGAUCGGGAGGAAUACCAGUGGCGAAGGCGGCCUUCUGGACUGACACUGACACUGAGGUGCGAAAGCGUGGGUAGCAAACAGGAUUAGAUACCCUUGUAGUC